AGGGAAGGAUAAGAAUCAAUAAGUACUGCUAAUCCUUAUACCCCGCGGUUAAAAUCCGCGGCUUCCUUA
rnacentral:tRNA from 1 species